GCGAGGUGGAGCGAAUCUCCAAAAAUUGUCCCAGUUCAGAUUGCAGGCUGCAACUCGCCUGCAUGAAGUCGGAAUUGCUAGUAAUCGUGGAUCAGCAUGCCACGGUGAAUACGUUCCCGGGCCUUGUACACACCGCCCGUCACACCAUGGGAGUCGGUAACACCCGAAGCCUGUAGUCUAACCGCAAGGAGGACGCAGUCGAAGGUGGGAUUGAUGACUGGGGUGAAGUCGUAACAAGGUAUC
rnacentral:rRNA from 1 species